GCAUUAAUGGGGUAGUGGUAACCUGGGUCGUUGCCAUUCAGUUGCGAGUAUCAAAAGCUCGACCCGCCGGGGGUUCGAUUCCCCCUUAAUGCA